rnacentral:rRNA from 1 species
AUUGAACGCUGGCGGCAGGCCUAACACAUGCAAGUCGAGCGAGCGGCGGACGGGUGAGUAAUGUCUGGGAAACUGCCUGAUGGAGGGGGAUAACUACUGGAAACGGUAGCUUAUCCCGCCUACCAUCAGAUGUGCCCAGAUGGGAUUAGCUAGUAGGUGGGGUAACGGCUUACCUAGGCCACGAUCCCUAGCUGGUCUGAGAGGAUGCCCAGCCACACUGGAACUGAGACAGGGUCCAGACUCCUACGGGAGGCAGCAGUGGGGAAUAUUGCACAAUGGGCGCAAGCCUGAUGCAGCCCUGCCGCGGGUGUGAAGAGGGCCUUCGGUUUGUAAAGCACUUUCAGCGGGGAGGCGUUACCCGCAGAAGAAGCACCGGCUAAAUCCGUGCCAGCAGCCGCGGUAAUUC